UGCUUGCACCUGGUGGAUGAGUGGCGAACGGGUGAGUAAUACGUGAGUGACCUUCCUUGGACUCUGGGAUAAGCCCGGGAAACUGGGUCUAAUACCGGAUACGACCAGUCCUCGCAUGGGGUGCUGGUGGAAAGGGUUUGUACUGGUUCUUGAUGGGCUCACGUCCUAUCAGCUUGUUGGUGAGGUAAUGGCUUACCAAGGCGACGACGGGUAGCCGGCCUGAGAGGGUGACCGGCCACACUGGGACUGAGACACGGCCCAGACUCCUACGGGAGGCAGCAGUGGGGAAUAUUGCACAAUGGGCGCAAGCCUGAUGCAGCGACGCCGCGUGGGGGAUGACGGCCUUCGGGUUGUAAACCUCUUUCAGCAGGGAAGAAGCGAAAGUGACGGUACCUGCAGAAGAAGCGCCGGCUAACUACGUGCCAGCAGCCGCGGUAAUACGUAGGGCGCAAGCGUUGUCCGGAAUUAUUGGGCGUAAAGAGCUCGUAGGCGGUUUGUCGCGUCUGCUGUGAAAGCCCGGGGCUCAACCCCGGGUGUGCAGUGGGUACGGGCAGGCUGGAGUGCAGUAGGGGAGACUGGAAUUCCUGGUGUAGCGGUGAAAUGCGCAGAUAUCAGGAGGAACACCGAUGGCGAAGGCAGGUCUCU
rnacentral:rRNA from 1 species